rnacentral:tRNA from 6 species
GCUACUGUGGCUCAGCAGGUAGAGCAGCUCACUCGUAAUGAGCAGGUCGUCCGUUCGAAUCGGAUCAGUAGCUCCA